AUUUUUAUGUACACAUAAUCUGGCUGGACUGUCAUUCGCUGGAUGGUUAUACUUUCAUUUGUAUACCUGUACAUUUAUUUGUGUAUGUAUAUGCAGCAUUGCAGAACUGGAAUUGUCAUCUGUGAACCAAGCAAACCCAAAAGGAUUACUGCCCUGGGCUGCUCAACAGGGGAACUUCAUGCUGUGACAAAAGUGCUGCUAAGGUUUCCUAAUGCACUGAAAGGCUGUGAAGUUUACAUGUCUCGGAAACCUUGCAAUUAUUGUGCAAAAUUGCUGGUUCAAGCACAAGUCUCACAUGUGUAUUACUGGCCAAAUUUGGAAAUCGAAACGGCAAACUCAAAGCAUAAUCUGGUAAAACAUGCUAAUGCCAUCUUUACAGAAAGCAGUGUUGUUGCAGCGGUAUAUGUACCAACUAUAGCCAACCAAAGAAAGAUGGAAAUACUUAAUUCAAAUGAAAAAGUAUCUUCUAAUGAUGAUUUAGUUCCAGUUUCAUCUGUAUUUGAUAAGAAACCUAGUGGGGAUAUUUUAAAAGAAUUUAACUUGGAACACCUGAAGGAUGACCGCCUGAAAAAAUACAAAAAAAAUCUUACUACAGCGAAGAACUGUUAUAAAUCUCUUGCAAGUUGCAAAGAUGAAAAAAUAAAAGUCUUAGAAGAGAAGGAAUCCACUGUAACGAAUAAUCCUAAGUACACCCAUGCAUUACAGCUCUGUGAUUUGUUAGCUUCCAGAAGUGGUAAGUAAAUUACUAUUACUAAAUUUAGUUCCUUAAUUUACUCAGUUUGGAAAAAUUCUACACAAUUGUUAGUCAUAUUCCUGGAGAUGUAAUAUACUGAGCAACACCCCCCCCCCAUCUUUAAUUGAUUACACUGCAUUCUGUUAAGUAAUUAAUGAAACAUUAGAAUUAAUGAAACUCUGGACCAGCAGACAUGAGUAAGAAUGUCAUACUCUUUGACCAGCAGGUUUGUUGUCAUAUCAUAGUGUUGUGUAAAUUUAUAAUUGUGAUAAUUUGACUGUUUAUUCUCAGACAAUAAUAAUGGAGUGGGGACGGUGAUUUUCAAGGAAGACAACAUUGUAAGUAAAAGUUUAUGUGGUUUAGGAAAUUGUGCUUUUCUUCUAAAAAUGUCUGAACUGUUCAUAGGAAAAUGUAUUUCUGGAAACAAAGGCAAUUUUUCCUUUGGGAGAAAAAAGAAUUCAUGAUUUUCUGAAACUUCACAUUUCAUACAAAUAUAUGAUCGAGAUCUAUAAUCAACCACUUUGAAAUGGAGAUCUCCAUAAACAUUACCAAACAGCAUCGCCUUAGAAUUCUCCCUGAAGUUAUUAACAAGUUGAGAUCUAUAAUUAAUCACUUUGAAACGGAGAUCUGCAUAAACAUUACCAAAUAUCACAUUAGAACUCUCCCUGAAGUUGUUAACAACUCUUAGGAGUUGGAAUGGGCUGUAAAUAACUAAAGGUCUCAGAACAACAUUACCUUUUAUUUCUUUGUAUGUUGUUUCUUUCUAGGUAGCUGUGGGCUACAGUGGAUACCCAAAAGGGGCAAUGAAUAGUUUAUUUUGCAAGAAGGCGGAUGUGGAUUUUUACCAGCAUGCGACUGUGUGUGCAGAAGCUAAUGCAAUUAUUAUGAGUUCUGAGAGAGACCUGUGUAAUGCUGAACUCAUCACUACACGUGAACCCUGCCUUGACUGUCUGAAACUGAUCCGAGCAAAGAAUAUAGCAAAGGUCAUUUGGCCUCUCCGAGACAGAAAUGUAGGUGAUAUUAGGGAUGGUUAAAAUCCAUGUGCCAUGGUUCCUUUGUCCCCUCCCUGAGGACAUCUUCCUAAAAACCCUGUACUUUCCCUUUGCUGGGGAGGAAUUGCACACUCUUUACCCUUUCAGGAUAGGCUCUCUUCUGCAUUGCCAGCUUUUUUGCACCAUUGGAGGUGGGGUGAGUGCCAGUGGGUGAGUGUCAGGAGAAGAACACUUAUCAGGGGGAUAUAGAUAGUAGAGGUAGCUGCUCCCACUCUGAAGGGGAAGAAGAUGGGGAUGAAAAGUCAUAUACACAGUCUGUCCUUCAUCUCUUUCAGCAAGUGGGGAAGGUCGGCACAUAGCCUU